AUAGACUCACCAAACUGUUAACUUUGCUAAAACGUUGUUCAUGUCAUGUUAGUAAAUCACAUCAAUAGUUUUCAUGUCACGGAGUGAAUGUAGAGAAUUGCUUAGUUAGUUAGCUCUGAAGGAAUAGUUUACCAAACCAAAAAUGCUAAUGUUGCUAACGUUUUGCCUUGUUAACAUUUUUGGUGGAAUUAUUCCUGUAGGCAUGCUGGAAUCAGACAUAUCACAGGCAAAGUAAUGACUGAGGAAAUGAUUGUAUCAUAUAAAGAUAAUAAAUUACUGACAAAGCUGUAA